UAGUGGCGAACGGGUGAGUAACACGUGGGCAAUCUGCCCUUCACUCUGGGACAAGCCCUGGAAACGGGGUCUAAUACCGGAUAUGAGCCUGNUANGCAUNUCCCGGGNUGNAAAGCUCCGGCGGUGAAGGAUGANCCCGCGGCCUAUCAGCUUGUUGGUGAGGUAAUGGCUUACCAAGGCGACGACGGGUAGCCGGCCUGAGAGGGCGACCGGCCACACUGGGACUGAGACACGGCCCAGACUCCUACGGGAGGCAGCAGUGGGGAAUAUUGCACAAUGGGCGAAAGCCUGAUGCAGCGACGCCGCGUGAGGGAUGACGGCCUUCGGGUUGUAAACCUCUUUCAGCAGGGAAGAAGCGAAAGUGACGGUACCUGCAGAAGAAGCGCCGGCUAACUACGUGCCAGCAGCCGCGGUAAUACGUAGGGCGCAAGCGUUGUCCGGAAUUAUUGGGCGUAAAGAGCUCGUAGGCGGCUUGUCACGUCGAUUGUGAAAGCCCGAGGCUUAACCUCGGGUCUGCAGUCGAUACGGGCUAGCUAGAGUGUGGUAGGGGGAGAUCGGAAUUCCU
rnacentral:rRNA from 1 species